UACAUUUUCCUCCUGUCUUUUAACAGAAGAUUUUUUUUUUCUUUCAAAAGGAAAGGAGAGAGAAAUCUACCCCCUGAAAAAGGGCUUUCUGAUCUGUCCUAGAUUUGAUCAAAGAGGAUAAGCCGUUUCUUUCAUACAAAAACUCUUUUGUUGCAGGAGUCAACUUCACUUUAUGCUUAAAACAUCAUAUUGACAAUUAGAAAGUUGGAUUGGAAGAGAGUACUUGAUGUUGUUUUAAGCAUGUAUUGGAGCUGCUUUAUCCUGUUAAAAUUAAACAACUGUUCCAUUCUGAUUCUUUAACAGCUUGAAUCAAAAGCUGACUCUCGGGUAACUUUAGAUUCUUCAUAAAAAAAAAAA